CCUACGGGAGGCAGCAGUGAGGAAUCUUGGUCAAUGGACGAGAGUCUGAACCAGCAAAGUCGCGUGAAGGAUGAAGGUUCUAUGGUUUGUAAACUUCUUUUAUAUGGGAAUAAAGUGUGUAACGUGUCUGUUUUUGUAUGUACCAUAUGAAUAAGCAUCGGCUAACUCCGUGCCAGCAGCCGCGGUAAUACGGAGGAUGCGAGCGUUAUCCGGAUUUAUUGGGUUUAAAGGGAGCGUAGGUGGUUUAUUAAGUCAGCUGUGCAAGUUUGCGGCUCAACCGUAAAAUUGCCGUUGAAACUGGGAGACUUGAGUAUAGUAGAGGUGGGCGGAAUGCGUGGUGUAGCGGUGAAAUGCGUAGAUAUCACGAAGAACUCCGAUGGCGAAGGCAGCUUACUAGACUGUAACUGACACUGAGGCUCGAAAGCGUGGGUAUCAAACAGGAUUAGAUACCCUAGUAGUC
rnacentral:rRNA from 1 species